rnacentral:rRNA from 1 species
AUGGCUUUCCUCGCUGUAGGUUAUGCCAUGGCUUUUCUUGUCCCGUCCCACUCGCCUCCCCCUCCUCGUCAUCCUCCUCUCUCUCUCUCUCCGCUCACUGCCAAGAAGCUGCCGGAGGAGGAACUCGACCCGGACGACCGCCGCUGGACAAAGAGCCCCGAAAAAAUCCCCAACCACCCCUGCGCCACCGCCUCUUCACCUUCGACCAUGGGUUGCAACAGUCAGAGGACCAAGUUGGAGCAUACUAGGCAAAUGGGCCUUGCCGUGAGUCGUGGUGCAGCAGUGACCUCGAUGGGCAGGGUAAUGGUCAGAUACGAGUCAGCAGCAAAGAUGACUGUAAGCAUUCAAAAAAGUUUACCACGCUAG